UUAAUUAAUUCCGCCCGAGACGAGAAAGGGUUAAGUGGAAGAAGAAAGGUAUUAACGUAAGUGUGGACGAGACGGUCUAGCGGUAAGGACGAAGGGUUGCAAGUGGUAGAGGCCAGGUUCGAUUCCCGGUUGUGGCAAGAGCGUUUAAUGUCGGGCGUCGUUGUUAAUUAAUUCCGCCCGAGACGAGAAAGGGUUAAGUGGAAGAAGAAAGGAGUUAACGUAAGUGUGGACGAGACGGUCUAGCGGUAAGGACGAAGGGUUGCAAGUGGUAGAGCCAGGUUCGAUUCCCGGUUGGAGCAAGAGCGUUUUAAUGUCGGGCGUCGUUGUUAAUUAAUUCCGCCCGAGACGAGAAAGGGUUAAGUGGAAGAAGAAAGGAGUUAACGUAAGUGUGGACGAGACGGUCUAGCGGUAAGGACGAAGGGUUGCAAGUGGUAGAGGCCAGGUUCGAUUCCCGGUUGUGGCAAGAGCGUUUUAAUGUCGGGCGUCGUUGUUAAUUAAUUCCGCCCGAGACGAGAAAGGGUUAAGUGGAAGAAGAAAGGAGUUAACGUAAGUGUGGACGAGACGGUCUAGCGGUAAGGACGAAGGGUUGCAAGUGGUAGAUGCCAGGUUCGAUUCCCGGUUGGAGCAAGAGCGUUUUAAUGUCGGGCGUCGUUGUUAAUUAAUUCCGCCCGAGACGAGAAAGGGUUAAGUGGAAGAAGAAAGGAGUUAACGUAAGUGUGGACGAGACGGUCUAGCGGUAAGGACGAAGGGUUCCAAUUGGUAGAGGCCAGGUUCGAUUCCCGGUUGGAUCGAAUUAGAAAUUUAUUUUUCGAAAGAAAUAAGUGAGGACAAGGUAGCCAAACAAACGUCUUGGGUUACCUGUGCGCUGGACACAGGUAGCCCAAGACAGGGUACAGGUAACCCAAGACAUGGGUUUUUCUAUUUUUGAAGAUGUAUACUAAGUGAGGACAAGGUGGCAAAACAAAGUGAGGACAAGGUGGCAAAACAAAGUGAGGACAAGGUGGCAAAACAAAGUGAGGACAAGGUGGCAAAACAAAGUGAGGACAAGGUGGCAAAACAAAGUGAGGACAAGGUGGCAAAACAAACGUCUUGGGUUACCUGUGCGCUGGACACAGGUAGCCCAAGACAGGGUACAGGUAACCCAAGACAUGGGUUUUUCUAUUUUUAAAAAUGUGUACUAAGUGAGGACAAGGUAGAGGACUAAGUGAGGACAAGGUAGAAAAACAAAUGUCUUGGGCGCCUACUGUUUCCCCGUUACGAUCCGCACCAGUCGAUCGUCUCAUUGCAGGUACCUCUAGACCAUUAGGACUAUUGGUGAAAUGGUUAUGUUUUUUAUUCUACUUAA